rnacentral:lncRNA from 1 species
UCAGCUGCCAGAUCUGUGUGCAGCUUCGUUCAGCUUCUCACUACGCUAGGCAUCACUUUAUUAAUCAUGUAUGAAUUUCUGUGCAUGCACCCUGAAGCGAUCACACACACGCGGUGCAAUCCCAAUCAAAAACGGAAGCCUUACCUGAUGGCAGAAAAGGCAGCUGCAGGAGCAGCAGCACCGACGGCCGCAGCAGGGUGCCAACAGCUCAGCCUUGCGCGGAAGCGUUCAUUGUAGAAUGCUUUGAAUGAAUCCGAGGACUCCUUAGCUCUCAGAAGACUCAUUAAACGAGCCUAGCAGCGGGUGAAGAUUAGGCGCUGAGAAAGUGAUAGCACCUGGGUUAGCACCCGAAGCUUUGCUUUUUAAAUGCUUGAGAUCUAUUGCAUAUCAGAGAACUGUCACCUGGGAGGAAAAAAUCUUGGGUUCUAUUAGUCUUUCCUCCACUAAGUCGCUUGAGUCUUUUUUGUGAAUCAAGACAAUUAAUUACGUUUACCUGGAAGCUGUCUCAAUGUUUAAUUGUCUAAACGAGAAUCAGAUGCUUAUUGGUGACAAUAACCAUGCUCAAGCAAUUUCUCCUAAUUCACUUACUUGUUUCUAGGCUGAUUUAACUUGGUUCAGAGUCUAUGAAGAACUCAAGAUUGCUAAGACUAUAUACAUUAGUCUGGUCUGUUUUAAUUUUGUCAUGUUUAAAUAUUGUAAGAUUUUAAAAAUUAAUGUUAAUUUCUCUUUAUAUGAGAGAAUUUAUUAAUAAUUACCUAAAACUUUAUAGAAUAUUAUAAUGGCAAUAAAAUAUUACAAUGAAAAGUGUUAUUGUUGAAAACCUAUUCCUCCAAAAGCCACAAAACAACUUUGCAUUCUUUAACCAUGAUUAUCUUUCUUUGUGUUUCACUAUUAAAGUGCUAACUAUUGAAUAAACAUUUGCUUAAAUAUAUUCACCAAGAAUCGUGUAUUUUCUAAGACUCUAAGUCAUUUUAUUAUUCAGACAUCAAGAAUGCCACAAUAUUUCAGAUAAUCAUUUAAUUUUGUUCUAUAAAAAAUCUCAAGAGUACAGAGUCUCAAUACAGUUUUAAAAAUAUGUCUCCCUACAGGAGGACUGUACACAAAUAACAAUGUCUUUUCAAUGCUAGUGUUGAAAAAGAAUAAAAUUAUUGGGACUGUCUGAAAUCUUUUUGUUUCACUGAAUACAAAUGUGUUGAUGUAGGUGGUGUAGCCAAG